GGGGUUGUAGCUCAGUGGUAGAGCACCCACCUCGGAUGUGUGAGGCACUGGGUUCAAUCCUCAGCACCA
rnacentral:tRNA from 1 species